GAGCUGAAGAAAAAACCAUGAGGACUCAGGAAAGCAUGAGAGGCGGUGAUCCUAUUACUGACUCAGUGUUCACACACAUCAUUAGAGCACAGAUGUAAGAUUUCUUGUUUAAGAAAGCUGAGGUGAAGAGUAGUUUUUAAAAAAUGAAAAAUGACACAUUUUAUCUUUAGAUGAGAAAGAUAAAGUGUUGCCAAAACCUGCUUCAUAGAUCAUUUCCUUACAAUUUUCUACUAAAGAUAUCAUUUUAUAUUUACCCCAAGAGAAGAGAAAACUGGAGAAGUCCUGAUAGGAAAUCUAUAAAAUCCACUAGCCUGUUCAAGGAUAUGGAAAUACAGCAAUAGGAACAAAGCAGGCAUUAGUUAAACAUAACCACCAGUGAUCUGCUUCCCUAUGCAGUACUUGUUAAUUGACAAUGGAAGCAGUGACUGAAAGAUCAAGGGCCAAUGUUGACAAUUGUUCAAGUUGUGUACUGAAUAAAUCCAGUGACUAAUGUUUCCUCCCCACAGUGUGGCAUUUGUUCCCACUUUCCAGCAGGUGGCAAUCACAGUUUUUUAAGGAAGGGAUGUCUCCUCUCCAUAGUUCAUCCUUUGAGGAUGGUAGGGAAAAAAAAAAGUGUGUGUCUCAGAAGCCAUGCCCUUCACUGCCACCUAGGGAAGUCCUGCAAACAAGAAGUAACUCUUCUGAGGUGAUAAGCCCAGUUGCAUUUUUGCACAGUUCUUAAAGCAAGCACAUAAAAUUGGUGUUCCAGGAAGCAUUAAGUUCAAUUGCCCUUUAAUAGCUCAAUACCGUCAACUGGAGGCACACUUCUGCUCCCCGUUGGAACAUCAUAGAAAAGUCAGCAAACAAAUGUUUUUGUUGUUGUUUUGGUGUGUGUGUGUGUGUGUGUGUGUGUGUGUGUGUGUGUGUGUGUGUGUGUGCUUGGUUUGUUUGCUUUGAUUUUUAUUCUCUUACCAGGGACAAUGAGUAAUGCAAACACCAGAGAUCUCUCCCCCAAAACAGUUGAACGUGGGGACCUCAUUCAUUUUACCUGUGGAUUCACAGAAGUACCUGGACAACGGCUGGAUAGAAAACAACAUCUUGAUGGUUCAUUCAUUUUUAUUCAUAGUAACUACAAACAGAAUGAAAAUAUAAUUGCUCGUUCCAGGAGCUUCCAACCUGGCAGAAUCUACACUGUUCCUUGGCCCUGCAUCUUAAUGACAGAUAAAUAAAGACAGCCCUUGAUGUGCUUCCAGG
rnacentral:lncRNA from 1 species